rnacentral:rRNA from 1 species
GGCCGCAAGGUUGAAACUCAAAUGAAUUGACGGGGACCCGCACAAGCGGUGGAGCAUGUGGAUUAAUUCGAUACUAACCGAAGAACCUUACCCAGACUUGACAUCGAUGGAAAGGCGCCGAAAGGCGUCCCUCCCUCUCAAGGGGACCAGAAGACACUUGUUGCAUGGCUGUCGUCAGCUCGUGCCGUGAGGUGUACGGUUAAGUCCGCCAACGAGCGCAACCCUCGUCCCGUGUUGCCAGCAUGAAAGAUGGGAACUCACGGGAGACCGCCGGUGUAAGCCGGAGGAAGGUGGGGAUGACGUCAAGUCAGCAUGGCAGUUACGUCUGGGGCUUCACACAUGCUACAAUGGGCGCAACAGAGGGCCGCGAUGCCGCGAGGCGGAGCCAAUCCCAGAAAUACGCCCCCAGUUCAGAUUGCAGUCUGCAACUCGACUGCAUGAAGGCGGAAUCGCUAGUAAACGCAGGUCAGCUAUACUGCGUUGAAUACGUUCCCGGGUCUUGUACACACCGCCCGUCAAGUCACUUGAAUCGUCUUCACCCGAAGCCCGUGGCCCAACCCGCAAGGGAGGGAGCGGUCGAAGGUGAGGGGGGUA